UUUGUUCGUCGCGGUUGUUUGUUUAUUUUUUUAUUUGUUCCAUUUGCACCUGAGAAGCUCCAGUGGCUUAAGCCGGGAAGGCAUUCUUUCUGAAAGGAGCAGGAUGGCGCCAGCCGGCUCAGUGCUUACAGACAGCUGUGGCGAGACGCAACUUAAGGAGGUUCCAGUGUCAUAAGCCGGGGGAGGCGGAGCCUGAGCGGGGACAGCUCCGGCCGCCCCCGCGGGAACCCCCCGGCAGCAAACUUCUCUUCAAAUCCCCUCCACCACACACCCUUCUUCGUUUUAUUUUUGAAAA